rnacentral:rRNA from 1 species
GGGGAAUAUUGCGCAAUGGGGGCAACCCUGACGCAGCGACGCCGCGUGCGGGACGGAGGCCCUCGGGUCGUAAACCGCUUUCAGCGGGGAAGAACCUUGACGGUACCCGCAGAAGAAGCCCCGGCUAACUACGUGCCAGCAGCCGCGGUAACACGUAGGGGGCGAGCGUUAUCCGGAUUCAUUGGGCGUAAAGCGCGCGUAGGCGGCCCGGCCAGUCGGGGGUCAAAUGGCGGGGCCCGGCCCCGCCCCGCCCCCGAUACCGCCGGGCUCGAGUCGCGCAGGGGAAGUCGGAACUCCCGGUGUAGCGGUGGAAUGCGCAGAUAUCGGGAGGAACACCGGUGGCGAAGGCGGGCUUCCGGGCGCGCACUGACGCUGAGGCGCGAGAGCCGGGGGAGCGAAC